rnacentral:rRNA from 1 species
AGUUAGUUGACGUAGACCCGAAACCGGGCGACCUAUGCAUGGGCAGGUUGAAGCGAAAGUAAAAUUUCGUGGAGGACCGAACCCACGAGCGUUGAAAAGCUCGGGGAUGACUUGUGGAUAGCGGUGAAAUUCCAAUCGAGCCUGGAGAUAGCUGGUUCUCCCCGAAAUAGCUUUAGGGCUAGCCUCAAGCUUAGAGAAACGGAGGUAGAGCACUGAAUGUCCUAGGGGGUAUUGCACUUACCGAAGACUAUCAAACUCCGAAUGCCGUAUUCUUUUGCUUGGGAGUCAGACUAUGGGUGAUAAGAUUCAUAGUCAAGAGGGCAACAGCCCAGAUCGUCAGCUAAGGUCCCUAAAUGUAAGUUAAGUGGUAAAGGAUGUGGAAUUGCACAGACAACCAGGAUGUUGGCUUAGAAGCAGCCACUCAUUAAAAGAGUGCGUAAUAGCUCACUGGUCGAGUGACUCUGCGCCGAAAAUUUAACGGGGCUAAACUAUACACCGAAGCUUGGGAUACAUCUAAUGUAUGGUAGGAGAGCGUUCUGUAUGGGGAGAAGUCGUAGCGAAAGCGGCGGUGGACUGUACAGAAGUGAGAAUGCCGGAAUAAGUAGCGAGAAUUAAGUGAGAAUCUUAAUGGCCGAAAGUCUAAGGUUUUUGGAGGAAGGUUCGUCCGCUCCAAGUAAGUCGGGAGCUAAGGUCAGGCCGAAAGGCGUAGCCGAUGCACAUACGGUUGAUAUUCCGUAACCAUCUGUAAUUUAAGCAAAGGGACACUUUAAAAGGGUGUGACCCGGGCGUUGGUUGACCCGGGCGUAAGGGACCGAAAUUAGAGUAGGGAAGCACACUUGGCUGAAGGCGAGAAAAGCUUUGCGUAUAGAAACAGAUGCCCGUACCGCAAACCGACACAGGUGGACAGGAAGAGAAUUCUAAGGCCAGCGGGAGAAGGGUAGUUAAGGAACUCGGCAAAUUGACUCCGUAACUUCGGAAUAAGGAGUGCUCGAAAGAGCCGCAGAGAAUAGGCCCAGGCGACUGUUUAGCAAAAACACAGGUCUCUGCCAAAUCGAAAGAUGAAGUAUAGGGGCUGACACCUGCCCGGUGCCGGAAGGUUAAGAGGAGGAGUGAGAGCUCCGAAUUGAAGCCCCGGUAAACGGCGGCCGUAACUAUAACGGUCCUAAGGUAGCGAAAUUCCUUGUCAGGUAAG